GUGCCGGAGAGGCAGCCUGAGAGGUAGCUGCCCGAGGGCUUCAG
rnacentral:rRNA from 17 species